rnacentral:rRNA from 1 species
UAACAAUGAUUUCCCUAGUAACGGCGAGUGAAGAGGAAAGAGCUCAAAGUUGGAACCUGUUUGGCUUAGCUAAACCGGAUUGUAAACUGUAGAAGUGUUUUCCAGACACGCCUGGUAAAAAAGUCCUUUGGAACAGGGCAUCAUAGAGGGUGAGAAUCCCGUCUUUGGCCAGAGCUGUUGUCUUUUGUGAUACAUUUACAAAGAGUCAGGUUGUUUGGGAAUGCAGCCUAAAUUGGGUGGUAAAUCUCACCUAAAGCUAAAUAUUUGCGAGAGACCGAUAGCGAACAAGUACCGUGAGGGAAAGAUGAAAAGAACUUUGAAAAGAGAGUUAAACAAGUAUGUGAAAUUGUUAAAAGGGAACCGUUUGGAGCCAGACUGGCUUGACUGUAAUCAAUCUAGGCUUCGGCCUGGAUGCACUUGCGGUUUAUGCCUGCCAACGACAAUUUUUUUUGAGGGAAAAAACUAUUAGGAAUGUGGCCCCCCUCGGGGGGUGUUAUAGCCUUUUAGAAAAUACCUUGAAUUGGAUUGAGGAACGCAGUGAAUGCCUUUAGGCAAGAUUGCUGGGCGCUUUCGCUAAUAAAUGCUAGAAUUUCUGCUUCGGGUGGUGCUAGUGUUUAAAGGAGAAACUCGUCUGGUAUAUUUUUUAUUCGCUUAGGUUGUUGGCUUAAUGACUCUAAAUGA